rfam:Triticum aestivum genome assembly, contig: Triticum_aestivum_CS42_TGACv1_scaffold_019627_1AS
UUUGUACCCCCUCCGUCCCAAAAUUCUUGUCUUAAAUUUAUCUAAAUACGGAUGUAUCAAGUCAAGUUUUAGUAUUAGAUACAUCCAUAUCUAGACAAAUUUAAGACAAGGAGUUUGGGACGGAGGGGGUAAACU